GGUUCCUCGUCGCGGCUGUGGUGUGGUGUGGCGUGGCGUGUGCCGGGGUGGAUGAGCCGGUGGCGUGGUCGGCGAAAGUGCCGUUGCCGUGCUUUACCAGCGAGGUGUGCGUUCUGGCAACAGCGUGGGAUUGUGGUGGUGCGGGAUCAGGCUUCGCCGCUGGAAUUUUGUGUGUGGCUGGCAUCGAGGCACGAAUUCCCUCCCCCGCAGCGCACAGUGAGGCGGGCUGCUGGUUCUGUGGGGUCAGGUUGCCCUGCUGGGGGCCAUUCUGAGUGUGGUCGUGUUUCCCGUAGCCUUUCUCCAUUGGCUUCUGUGGUGCUGCGCUGGUGGUGGCCCUAGUUGCAUUAUCUCCACCGCUACAGCUCCUGAACUGCGCUGCUGUUUUGGCUCUGCCUCCUUUUGUAAAUUGGGUUUUGUUUUACUUAUUUCCUGGUUUGAGUCCACCCAUCGCCGUUAUCUUCUUUAAUUUUAGGUUUAAUUAGUUGUGAUUAAAUUCUUUCUUUAUUUUCUGUUUUUGUGUAUUAUAUUUUUGGUGUAAUAUAUUUCAAUUGUGUUCCGUUAAUACUGUUCAUUCUGUUUAUUUCCUUAUUAUUUGAUCAUGUGCCUGCGUGUGUGGGUGUUCUUUUUAUAGACAGCUGUAUGAAGCAUUGUGGCCUGUUUUAAGCAUUCUUUUCUUUUGUGGACAGGUGCUGCGGGCUCAAGGUGGCGACCCAAUCCUGGUGGUGGGUUUUUCCUCACAGAUCUGCGUGUGUGUGGUGUCACAGGUGUUUUAGUUUCUUCCUCCCUUCAUGAUUUUGAGUUGGGCCGCCACGGUAAGCCCCAGCUCUGUUCCCUUUUAGUGCCACCUACAGGUCAAAGUAGGAACAUGACCCACAG